rnacentral:rRNA from 1 species
CAUGCAAGUCGAGCGGAUGAAGGGAGCUUGCUUCUGGAUUCAGCGGCGGACGGGUGAGUAAUGCCUAGGAAUCUGCCUGGUAGUGGGGGACAACGUUCCGAAAGGAGCGCUAAUACCGCAUACGUCCUACGGGAGAAAGUGGGGGAUCUUCGGACCUCACGCUAUCAGAUGAGCCUAGGUCGGAUUAGCUAGUAGGUGGGGUAAUGGCUCACCUAGGCGACGAUCCGUAACUGGUCUGAGAGGAUGAUCAGUCACACUGGAACUGAGACACGGUCCAGACUCCUACGGGAGGCAGCAGUGGGGAAUAUUGGACAAUGGGCGAAAGCCUGAUCCAGCCAUGCCGCGUGUGUGAAGAAGGUCUUCGGAUUGUAAAGCACUUUAAGUUGGGAGGAAGGGCAGUAAGUUAAUACCUUGCUGUUUUGACGUUACCAACAGAAUAAGCACCGGCUAACUACGUGCCAGCAGCCGCGGUAAUACGUAGGGUGCGAGCGUUAAUCGGAAUUACUGGGCGUAAAGCGUGCGCAGGCGGCUUUGUAAGACGGAUGUGAAAUCCCCGGGCUCAACCUGGGAACUGCAUUUGUGACUGCAAGGCUAGAGUGCGUCAGAGGGAGGUGGAAUUCCGCGUGUAGCAGUGAAAUGCGUAGAGAUGCGGAGGAACACCGAUGGCGAAGGCAGCCUCCUGGGAUGACACUGACGCUCAUGCACGAAAGCGUGGGGAGCAAACAGGAUUAGAUACCCUGGUAGUCCACGCCCUAAACGAUGUCAACUAGUUGUCGGGUCUUCAUUGACUUGGUAACGAAGCUAACGCGUGAAGUUUGACCGCCUGGGGAGUACGGUCGCAAGAUUAAAAACUC